rnacentral:rRNA from 1 species
CGGCGGACGGGUGAGUAACGCGUGGGUGACCUGCCCCAUACCGGGGGAUAACAGCUGGAAACGGCUGCUAAUACCGCAUAAGCGCACAGAGCUGCAUGGCUCAGUGUGAAAAACUCCGGUGGUAUGGGAUGGGCCCGCGUCUGAUUAGGCAGUUGGCGGGGUAACGGCCCACCAAACCGACGAUCAGUAGCCGGCCUGAGAGGGCGACCGGCCACAUUGGGACUGAGACACGGCCCAAACUCCUACGGGAGGCAGCAUG